UACGUAGGGUCCAAGCGUUGUCCGGAUUUAUUGGGCGUAAAGAGCUCGUAGGCGGCUCAGUAAGUCGGAUGUGAAAGCCCGGGGCUCAACCUCGGAAGCGCACCGGAUACUGCGAGGCUAGGGUCUUGAAGAGGAGAGCGGAAUUCCCGGUGUAGAGGUGAAAUUCGUAGAUAUCAGGAGGAACACCGGUGGCGAAGGCGGGUCUCUGGGCCGAUACUGACGCUGAGGAGCGAAAGCGUGGGGAGCAAACAGG
rnacentral:rRNA from 1 species